UGUACAAGGAAAAGGUGGGUACAUAUCUAAAUGGUUUACAUUCACAAUAAGCCGCGUUCCGCACAGCGAAAACACUUUGUCAGAGGAGACGGACAACAACAAAGCAUCGGCCGGCAUAACAAACAAACUUAUGUUUGUACACAAUGCACAUAUGGGCAUUGUGUUGCAUGCCGGCCAACUCUGCCGUCCCCCCCCCCCUGGUCGUCAUAAAUGGAUGGAAUCACCCGCAAGUGUAAUGGAAGUGCCGUCGUCAGAGUGGAUUUUGCUGCUGCUGCUGCUGAUGAUGGAUUCUGGCUGCUGUAGAUGGCUGAUUCUGCUGGCUGCUGGUAAUGGCUGCCCCUACAGGGGGCACCAGUGGCGCUGGUCCGGCCACCGGCCAGUCUCGGCGUGGAUACACACUCGCACACAUUUGCAACCGCAGCGACUCAGGUCCGGCCGCCUAGAUGGUGCUCGAAUUGGCGUGUGUGUGUGUGUGUGUGUGUGUAUUUGGUGUGCCUUUGGACGGACCGUCCAAAAUUGUCUCACUUGACCAUGAUACAGCGGCUCUGGUCCGGCCGCCUACAGGUAAGUGUGUGUAUGUGUUGUUUAAUGUGUUUUCUUUACAGGUUUUCUGCUGGGGCUGCGUCGUCGAGAUAUGGCUGACCACGCCAUCAACCAAUACACUCUCCAUGGACCAGAGGAGUGCAUUGAAUUGGAGAGGAUGAUGGCGUGUGGAUUUGCAGUGGGCGUGGCAUGUUUGCGCGCCCAUUGUCCAGCACACGACAAGCAACAAGCGGCUGCUGGUCCGGCCGCCUGUAAAUAAAUUUGGAUGCUGAUUGCUGGUUGCUGAGUUUUUCUGCAGAGGAAAUGGACGUCCGUAUUUUCAUCCAGCGCACUCUCCUUGGACCAGUGGGAAGUGUCUCGGCUUGGAGAGGAUGUAGGCGUAGAGAUUGCGGAGGGCGUGGCAAUCGGCUGCCGAUCCGGCCUCCUGCCGAUUGUCUGCAAUGGCUGCGUCUUCGAUCUGUGUCCACUCACACCAAAAUCCACCCUUGACCAGAAGAAAGUCCACGCUUGAGGAUGAAGGCGUCAAGAUUUGUAGGGGGUGUGGCAUGUUGGCGCGCGCCCCGUGUCCAGCACACGACAGGCAGCAAGCGGCUGCUGAUCCGGCCGCCUGUAUAUUUCUGAUUUCUCUGCAGAGGCUACGUCGUCGAUGUGAGUUUGGAUUCUGUUGCUGCUGCUGGUUGCCGGCCGCUUUUAUUUCAGGGAUCUCUGCCGAGGCUACGUCGUCGAUGGAUGUGGGCCACGCCAUCUACUAGUACACUCUCCAUGGACCAGAGGAGUGUUUUUGAUUGGAGCGGAUGAGCGGCGUGCGGAUUUGCGGGGGGCGUGGCAUGGUAAGGCGGCCCGAGUCCAUCCCUAGACUAGGUGCAAACGGCUGCUGGUCCGGCCGCCUGCAGGUAAGUGUGUGUAUU